ACCAUCAGUUAACCUGUAGCUGUUUGUGUGUCUGUCCAUAUUUACCUUCCUCCUCUAGGGGAUCAAAGUAUAUAAGAGAGGUGACAAGGGUGACCCAGGAUUUAAAGGGGACCAGGUAAAUGAGGCUUUAAAGGCAGAGGAUGGGCAUCAGGGCUGCUGGGUAAUGUUGGACCAGUGGGCACCCCUGGAUUUCCUGGAACCAGAGGUUAUGAUGGAAUAAUUGGGGUGAAUGGUAAGCAAGGAAAAGAUGGGCCAAAGGGUGACAGAGGUCCUACCGGUGGAGAAAGCAUUGAUAGACCUAGAGGCGAUAAGGGAGAGAUUGGGAAAUCAGGAAAGAGAGGAGCUGAAGGAGACCUGGUAUUAAGGUUCAUGUGGGAGGCCAGGAAUUCCAGGACUCACUGGACUAAAAGGGCUGAAGGUGAAACUUUUACUUCAGGGUGCAGUCUUGCCACACUUGGACGUGCUGAUAUUACCAAUAGAGGGCCAGAAUUCAAGUGAAAACUCGAGAAAAAUGGAAUGGAAUGGAACAGGUCUUUCUUCACUUAGGGACUUCCAAGGCCAUCUUGGGGGUAGGGGACUGGAUGGAACACAUGGACCCCAUUGUAUCCCAUUGUCCUGUGCCAGAGAUGGUCCUGUGUCUAAUAUACUCAGAGGUGUCACACACAUACUGUAUGUGGUUUGACCAUGAUCCCUGCCCUCUAGGGACCCAUCGGAGGAACUGCAUCUGACGGGAAUUCCGGAUCUACCAGACUAAGGGUAAUAUUUCACAGUUCAGAUGUUUCUUUUGCUGUUAUAUGUCUUUUCAGGCUCUUUGGCACUCCUAACGCUUAUACUUCCCACUGGGCACAGACAUCAAUUCAAAAUUCCAUGAUUCAAUGUAAUUUAAUUGAAAUUAAAUGGAAACAACAUUGAUUCAAUUAGUGUGUGCCUAGUGGCUUGUGAUAUACAGUGCAUUUGGAAAGUAUUCAGACCCCUUGACUUUUUCCACAUU